rnacentral:lncRNA from 1 species
AGGUCUCAAAGUAUAGGCUCAAUGGUCAAAUGGACAGGGUCCCAUAGCAUUUUCUUCAAUGAAAAACUCACGAGUCACUAAGGCAUACCAUCAAACAAAUGAGUUGUUGGAUUAAAUCAAUUAGAGCAUCUCGAACACCAUGUAUAUAUUUGGAGAUUUAAACAUACUUUUAUGUAUAGGAGAGAGAAAAUUUUAAGUAUACAAAGGUUGCCUUCUUCAACAAUGUAUCUAUAGUGCUCUACCUAUAUUUUGGAUAACAACCCUGAUGGUUAGGGUCAGCACAUCGGUCUCUCUCCUUCUUCCAUGUCCAUC